UACGAAGGGUGCAAGCGUUACUCGGAAUUACUGGGCGUAAAGGGUGCGUAGGUGGUUGUUUAAGUCUGUUGUGAAAGCCCGGGGCUCAACCCCGGAAUUGCCUUUAAGACUGCAUCGCUAGAAUUGUGGAGAGGUAAGUGGAAUUCCGAGUGUAGAGGUGAAAUUCGUAGAUAUUCGGAAGAACACCAGUGGCGAAGGCGACUUACUGGACACAUAUUGACGCUGAGGUGCGAAAGCGUGGAGAGCAAACAGG
rnacentral:rRNA from 1 species